CCUUCCAACAAUGACCUGUCCAUAGGGCUGGUUAAGUGUACUUACGACACAGCAGCUGACUUCGCCCAGGGGGAAUGGUUCAAAUGAGAGUAAGGCCAAAACCACAAUGCCUUUUAUGACCUAGUCUUGGUAGUCAAACAUCAUUAUUUCUGCAAUAAUCUGAUAGUACAUAAGUCAACUCUGUUCAUUGUGGGAGGAGACUAGAUAAGGAUGUGAAUACCAGGAGGCAAAGAUCCUUGGGAGACAUCUUGGAGUGUGGAUAUAAAAGGAGGUAACCCAGAGAUUAGCAAUAAUAGGAAGCCAAACAGUGGUGUGCUGAUAAACCAGCUCUCCAAAAACAAAACGAAACAAAAAUACCCUGAUGUGGAAUGUUUGCCAUGGUGUAAAUACUCCCUCUAGGGCCAAUUUUAAGCUACCAAUGGUUUGACAACAGGAUUGCAAAAUUCCCAAGUAUGUAACAAUUGAUUCUCAUGAGAUGGUAAGAGGCAACUUUGGGAUACAAUUGCCCCCAAGGCUGGAGAGGAUGCAGGAUACAGGAUAGAUCUGAAGGUUUCGGAGUGCUGGGAUCUGCUGAAUCAGUCAUCACUCAUCCAUCUGCCUUCCAGCUUCCAAAAUGUUGAUGUUUUCUCUUCUUCUUUUUUUUUUCUUUUUUGUUUUUUGAGCUUAGCCCUUUUUAAAAGAUCACUUUACUGUCAUUUCCGUGUAUUUUUGGAAGAGAAACUGUUUGUUCAUUCUAAUGUCUUUAACCAGAAUCUGACCUCUCUACAUUUAACUUUCUUGUUCUUCUCUAAUAAUAGUCCUAAUGAGAUAAGCAGGAAAGAUAUCAUUGCCCUUCUUUUACUGAUAAAAUAUUUGAGAGUUAGAUUGUUUAAGUGACUUGUUUGAGAUUACUAAACAGGUCCUAGAAUAUUCAAGUCUCAGAAGUCAUAUUUGUUAUUCUUUUUACCUAAUGUAAAUUGCUG
rnacentral:lncRNA from 1 species